rnacentral:rRNA from 1 species
GACGAACCGUGCGAACGUUGUUCGGAAUCACUGGGCUUAAAGGGCGCGUAGGCGGAUCGGCAAGUCUAGGGUGAAAUCCUCCGGCUCAACCGGAGAACUGCCUUGGAUACUGCCGAUCUCGAGGGAGGUAGGGGCAGCUGGAACUUCCGGUGGAGCGGUGAAAUGCGUUGAUAUCGGAAGGAACGCCGGUGGCGAAAGCGAGCUGCUGGACCUCUUCUGACGCUGAGGCGCGAAAGCCAGGGGAGCAAACGGG